AGCUGAGAUGAUGGUGCAAAAAGACUGGGCAGGGUUCUGCUCUGCUGUCCACAGGGUCACUAAGAGUCAGAAUCGACUCUACAGCACUAAAAAGCAAAAGGAUUAAGCUGCAUAG